AGAGAAUAAAGUCGCCAUCGGAAGGUCGGGGGCGAUUCCGCCGCUGGUGAGCUUACUAGAGAGCGGCGGAAUCCGGGGGAAGAAAGACGCGUCAACCGCGCUCUACUCGUUGUGCUCCGUGAUGGAGAACAAGAUGAGAGCGGUUGACGGAGAACAAGAUGAGAGCGGUUCAAGCCGGGAUCAUGAAGCCGCUGGUGGAAUUGAUGGCGGAUUUCGGGUCAAACAUGGUGGAUAAAGCCGCGUACGUGCUGAGCGUAUUGGUUUCUGUGCCAGAGGCAAGGUCGUCGCUGGUGGAAGAGGCCGGAAUCCCGGUGCUGGUCGAGAUCGUAGAGGUCGGUUCUCAACGGCAGAAGGAGAUUGCGGUGGCCAUACUUCUCCAGCUAUGCGAGGACAAUUUAGUUUACCGGGCGAUGG
rnacentral:lncRNA from 1 species